UUAAGCGACUAAGCGUACACGGUGGAUGCCCUGGCAGUCAGAGGCGAUGAAGGACGUGCUAAUCUGCGAUAAGCGUCGGUAAGGUGACAUGAACCGUUAUAACCGGCGAUUUCCGAAUGGGGAAACCCAGUGUGAUUCGUCACACUAUCAUUAACUGAAUCCAUAGGUUAAUGAGGCGAACCGGGGGAACUGAAACAUCUAAGUACCCCGAGGAAAGAAUCAACCGAGAUUCCCCCAGUAGCGGCGAGCGAACGGGGAGCAGCCCAGAGCCUGAAUCAGUGUGUGUGUUAGUGGAAGCGUCUGGAAAGGCGUGCGAUACAGGGUGACAGCCCCGUACACAAAAAUGCACAUAUUGUGAGCUCGAUGAGUAGGGCGGGACACGUGGUAUCCUGUCUGAAUAUGGGGGGACCAUCCUCCAAGGCUAAAUACUCCUGACUGACCGAUAGUGAACCAGUACCGUGAGGGAAAGGCGAAAAGAACCCCGGCGAGGGGAGUGAAAAAGAACCUGAAACCGUGUACGUACAAGCAGUGGGAGCACGCUUAGGCGUGUGACUGCGUACCUUUUGUAUAAUGGGUCAGCGACUUAUAUUCUGUAGCAAGGUUAACCGAAUAGGGGAGCCGAAGGGAAACCGAGUCUUAACUGGGCGUUAAGUUGCAGGGUAUAGACCCGAAACCCGGUGAUCUAGCCAUGGGCAGGUUGAAGGUUGGGUAACACUAACUGGAGGACCGAACCGACUAAUGUUGAAAAAUUAGCGGAUGACUUGUGGCUGGGGGUGAAAGGCCAAUCAAACCGGGAGAUAGCUGGUUCUCCCCGAAAGCUAUUUAGGUAGCGCCUCGUGAAUUCAUCUCCGGGGGUAGAGCACUGUUUCGGCAAGGGGGUCAUCCCGACUUACCAACCCGAUGCAAACUGCGAAUACCGGAGAAUGUUAUCACGGGAGACACACGGCGGGUGCUAACGUCCGUCGUGAAGAGGGAAACAACCCAGACCGCCAGCUAAGGUCCCAAAGUCAUGGUUAAGUGGGAAACGAUGUGGGAAGGCCCAGACAGCCAGGAUGUUGGCUUAGAAGCAGCCAUCAUUUAAAGAAAGCGUAAUAGCUCACUGGUCGAGUCGGCCUGCGCGGAAGAUGUAACGGGGCUAAACCAUGCACCGAAGCUGCGGCAGCGACACUAUGUGUUGUUGGGUAGGGGAGCGUUCUGUAAGCCUGUGAAGGUGUACUGUGAGGUAUGCUGGAGGUAUCAGAAGUGCGAAUGCUGACAUAAGUAACGAUAAAGCGGGUGAAAAGCCCGCUCGCCGGAAGACCAAGGGUUCCUGUCCAACGUUAAUCGGGGCAGGGUGAGUCGACCCCUAAGGCGAGGCCGAAAGGCGUAGUCGAUGGGAAACAGGUUAAUAUUCCUGUACUUGGUGUUACUGCGAAGGGGGGACGGAGAAGGCUAUGUUGGCCGGGCGACGGUUGUCCCGGUUUAAGCGUGUAGGCUGGUUUUCCAGGCAAAUCCGGAAAACUAAGGCUGAGGCGUGAUGACGAGGCACUACGGUGCUGAAGCAACAAAUGCCCUGCUUCCAGGAAAAGCCUCUAAGCAUCAGGUAACAUCAAAUCGUACCCCAAACCGACACAGGUGGUCAGGUAGAGAAUACCAAGGCGCUUGAGAGAACUCGGGUGAAGGAACUAGGCAAAAUGGUGCCGUAACUUCGGGAGAAGGCACGCUGAUAUGUAGGUGAAGUCCCUCGCGGAUGGAGCUGAAAUCAGUCGAAGAUACCAGCUGGCUGCAACUGUUUAUUAAAAACACAGCACUGUGCAAACACGAAAGUGGACGUAUACGGUGUGACGCCUGCCCGGUGCCGGAAGGUUAAUUGAUGGGGUCAGCGCAAGCGAAGCUCUUGAUCGAAGCCCCGGUAAACGGCGGCCGUAACUAUAACGGUCCUAAGGUAGCGAAAUUCCUUGUCGGGUAAGUUCCGACCUGCACGAAUGGCGUAAUGAUGGCCAGGCUGUCUCCACCCGAGACUCAGUGAAAUUGAACUCGCUGUGAAGAUGCAGUGUACCCGCGGCAAGACGGAAAGACCCCGUGAACCUUUACUAUAGCUUGACACUGAACAUUGAGCCUUGAUGUGUAGGAUAGGUGGGAGGCUUUGAAGUGUGGACGCCAGUCUGCAUGGAGCCGACCUUGAAAUACCACCCUUUAAUGUUUGAUGUUCUAACGUUGACCCGUAAUCCGGGUUGCGGACAGUGUCUGGUGGGUAGUUUGACUGGGGCGGUCUCCUCCUAAAGAGUAACGGAGGAGCACGAAGGUUGGCUAAUCCUGGUCGGACAUCAGGAGGUUAGUGCAAUGGCAUAAGCCAGCUUGACUGCGAGCGUGACGGCGCGAGCAGGUGCGAAAGCAGGUCAUAGUGAUCCGGUGGUUCUGAAUGGAAGGGCCAUCGCUCAACGGAUAAAAGGUACUCCGGGGAUAACAGGCUGAUACCGCCCAAGAGUUCAUAUCGACGGCGGUGUUUGGCACCUCGAUGUCGGCUCAUCACAUCCUGGGGCUGAAGUAGGUCCCAAGGGUAUGGCUGUUCGCCAUUUAAAGUGGUACGCGAGCUGGGUUUAGAACGUCGUGAGACAGUUCGGUCCCUAUCUGCCGUGGGCGCUGGAGAACUGAGGGGGGCUGCUCCUAGUACGAGAGGACCGGAGUGGACGCAUCACUGGUGUUCGGGUUGUCAUGCCAAUGGCACUGCCCGGUAGCUAAAUGCGGAAGAGAUAAGUGCUGAAAGCAUCUAAGCACGAAACUUGCCCCGAGAUGAGUUCUCCCUGACUCCUUGAGAGUCCUGAAGGAACGUUGAAGACGACGACGUUGAUAGGCCGGGUGUGUAAGCGCAGCGAUGCGUUGAGCUAACCGGUACUAAUGAACCGUGAGGCUUAACCUU
rnacentral:rRNA from 1 species